AGACAAUCACACAUCACAUGGGAGAUCCCAGAACAGGAUAACAGCACUGUUCCUCAUUCUGCCUUCAGAACCACUAGCCAGACUGCUGGAAUCUUGGGGAAAAAUUGAACCAACUUGAAAGGAUGAAGGCGUGGCUGGGGAAAUUCCCUUCUCAGACAGGUACAACUGGAAACAGCCAGAUAACAACACAACAACUCUCCCCAUGUUGACUGGUGCCUUCCAUCUGAAGACCUCAAAGGGCCUCCCACAAAAGUCACAUACCACUGCAAGGUUACAUAAAUGGAUCUUUUCCGACACAUGCUGCAGUCAGGUGCUAUUGGCUUCUGAGCACUUGUGAAAUACACUCUGCUACAUGUAAGUGUCUGCUCUGAGAACCACAAUAAACUGCC